AGGGGUGUAGGCUAAUGGCAAGCCCAAAGACUUUGACUCUUUGGAUAGUGGUUCGAUUCCACUCACCCCUU
rnacentral:tRNA from 1 species